ACAUCUCUUGUGCUGCAUCAGUAAACAAAACUUCGGUUAGUUUUAUGAAAUGCAACAUCUAACCCCUUGUUUUCUGGGAAAAAGAAACUGCAAUGACUUGAAGUUGAGAAUGUGGAUACCGCCUCACUCACACACACUCAUUCUCAGACUGUAAAAAAUCCCUGACCCUCCUUCUAGCUGGCAAGCAUACAGUACCAUGUGGCAAAGGUACAGCGAAGGUGGGCUUGAGACCCAGGCUCCAUCUUUCUCCUCAGUAGCAAAGGCCAGGCUGCCUUUUACAACAAAGCACCACAGCUGAACCCAGUCCCUCCUCCUCCCCCAAACCAGGCAUUCCACUCGGCACUGGCCAAAAGACAGAAAAGCUACUUCUAGCCUCUCCUGGGAAGAGAUAACUUUCUUUCUUUUUUUUUAAAUAAGUAACUCCAUUGUUUUUCUCUUUUCCAAGAUGGCCGAUGUUAUGGUUUUCUACGAAGUCAGUGCUUACUUAGCUCACUAACAGCGCUGCUGUUGGCGGCUGCGGCUGCUGCUGUGGCAGGAUUUUCAAUGUGGUGUGUUUUCAAGCCUCACUCACUCAUCCUCUCAUUCCCAAACAUUCAGCAUCCGUGCACACUCCUCACUUCCAGGUUUUUCAAAAGAUGGGAGAUUUCCAGUGGGGGUCCUCAGGUUAUCAUCCCAAUGAUCUUACCAAGCUUGGUUCUUCAGUUUCCUCAGUUCUUUUGUUGCCCAUGUAGCAAGGGUUUUUGCUUUGUUAGUCUUCGAUCUCCGCCCUUCAGUUAACAAUUCAUGGAUCAUUGGCCUAGCUUCUACUAAUUUCAGUACAUCCUUCCCAAAUGCUGUACAUAAGUCCCUGUGCAAAACAAACACAGCUGAGAAUGAGCUCCUAGCCCCAUACCAGUAUAAUGUUUUGAGCCUUCCAAACCAGUGCUAUGGGUUUCUUAGCAAAUUUCAAAGAUAAAUAAAA
rnacentral:lncRNA from 1 species